rnacentral:rRNA from 1 species
UGCAAGCCGAGCGGUAUAGAUCUUUCGGGAUCUAGAGAGCGGCGCACGGGUGCGGAACACGUGUGCAACCUACCUUUAUCAGGGGGAUAGCCUUUCGAAAGGAAAAUUAAUACCCCAUAAUAUAUUUGAUGGCAUCAUUAGAUAUUGAAAACUCCGGUGGAUAGAGAUGGGCACGCGCAAGAUUAGAUAGUUGGUGAGGUAACGGCUCACCAAGUCAAUGAUCUUUAGGGGGCCUGAGAGGGUGAUCCCCCACACUGGUACUGAGACACGGACCAGACUCCUACGGGAGGCAGCAGUGAGGAAUAUUGGACAAUGGGUGAGAGCCUGAUCCAGCCAUCCCGCGUGAAGGAUGACGGCCCUAUGGGUUGUAAACUUCUUUUGUAUAGGGAUAAACCUACCCUCGUGAGGGUAGCUGAAGGUACUAUACGAAUAAGCACCGGCUAACUCCGUGCCAGCAGCCGCGGUAAUACGGAGGGUGCAAGCGUUAUCCGGAUUUAUUGGGUUUAAAGGGUCCGUAGGCGGACUCGUAAGUCAGUGGUGAAAUCUCAUAGCUUAACUAUGAAACUGCCAUUGAUACUGCGGGUCUUGAGUAAGGUAGAGGUAGCUGGAAUAAGUAGUGUAGCGGUGAAAUGCAUAGAUAUUACUUAGAACACCAAUUGCGAAGGCAGGUUACCAUGUCUUAACUGACGCUGAUGGACGAAAGCGUGGGGAGCGAACAGGAUUAGAUACCCUGGUAGUCCACGCCGUAAACGAUGCUAACUCGUUUUUGGGUUUUCGGAUUCAGAGACUAAGCGAAAGUGAUAAGUUAGCCACCUGGGGAGUACGAACGCAAGUUUGAAACUCAAAGGAAUUGACGGGGGCCCGCACAAGCGGUGGAUUAUGUGGUUUAAUUCGAUGAUACGCGAGGAACCUUACCAAGGCUUAAAUGGGGAAAUGAC